rnacentral:rRNA from 1 species
CGGAAUAGUGGCAUACGGGUGAGUAACGCGUAAGUAACCUGCCCUUAAGUAGGGGAUAACUCUGAGAAAUUAGAGCUAAUACCUUAUGUGGUGAUGAGGCUAAUGUUUCACCAUUAAAGCCUUAGGGUGCUUAGGGAUGGGCUUGCGUCCGAUUAGCUAGUUGGUGGGGUAAUGGCUUACCAAGGCUAUAAUCGGUAGCUGGUUUGAGAGGACGAUCAGCCACACUGGGAUUGAGAUACGGCCCAGACUCC